UACGGGGGGAGCAAGCGUUGUUCGGAUUUACUGGGCGUAAAGGGCGCGUAGGCGGUCAGCACAAGUCAGUUGUGAAAUCUCCGGGCUUAACUCGGAAAGGUCAACUGAUACUGUGCGACUAGAGUGCAGAAGGGGCAACUGGAAUUCUCGGUGUAGCGGUGAAAUGCGUAGAUAUCGAGAGGAAUACCUGAGGUGAAGACGGGUUGCUAGGCCGACACUGACGCUGAAGCGCGAAAGCCAGGGGAGCAAACGGG
rnacentral:rRNA from 1 species